rnacentral:rRNA from 1 species
ACGGGGUGCAGCAGGCGCGAAAACUUUACAAUGCAGGAAACUGUGAUAAGGGGACCCCGAGUGCCCGUAAACGCGGGCUGUUAUGGUGUCUAAAACACAUCAGGAGAAAGGGCCGGGCAAGACCGGUGCCAGCCGCCGCGGUAAUACCGGCGGCUCGAGUGGUGACCACUUUUAUUGGGCUUAAAGCGUUCGUAGUUGGGUUGUUAAGUCUCUUGGGAAAUCUGACGGCUCAACCGUCAGGCGUCUAAGGGAUACUGGCGAUCUUGGGACCGGGAGAGGUGAGAGGUACUCCGGGGGUAGGAGUGAAAUCCUGUAAUCCUCGGGGGACCACCUGUGGCGAAGGCGUCUCACCAGAACGGCUCCGACAGUGAGGGACGAAAGCUGGGGGAGCAAACCGGAUUAGAUACCCGGGUAGUCCCAGCCGUAAACGAUGCGCGUUAGGUGUAUCGGUGACCACGAGUUACCGAGGUGCCGAAGGGAAACCGUGAAACGUGCCGCCUGGGAAGCACGGUUGCAAGGCUGAAACUUAAAGGAAUUGGCGGGGGAGCAC